CCUCAUAAAGUGCGUCGUAGUCCGGAUUGGAGUCUGCAACUCGACUCCAUGAAGUCGGAAUCGCUAGUAAUCGUGGAUCAGAAUGCCACGGUGAAUACGUUCCCGGGCCUUGUACACACCGCCCGUCACACCAUGGGAGUGGGUUGCAAAAGAAGUAGGUAGCUUAACCUUCGGGAGGGCGCUUACCACUUUGUGAUUCAUGACUGGGGUGAAGUCGUAACAAGGUAACCGUAGGGGAACCUGCGGUUGGAUCACCUCCUUACCUUAAAGAAGC
rnacentral:rRNA from 2 species